GCAUCGUUGGUCUAACGGUUAUGAUGCUUGCCUUCCAAGCAGGCGACCCGGGUUCGACUCCCGGACGAUGCA